rnacentral:tRNA from 1 species
GAACUCAAGGCGGACUCGAAUGAGCUGAAUGGGGU